rnacentral:rRNA from 1 species
UACGGGGGGGGGUAAGCGUUGUUCGGAAUUACUGGGCGUAAAGGGCUCGUAGGCGGCCAACUAAGUCAGACGUGAAAUCCCUCGGCUUAACCGGGGAACUGCAUCUGAUACUGGAUGGCUUGAGUUCGGGAGAGGGAUGCGGAAUUCCAGGUGUAGCGGUGAAAUGCGUAGAUAUCUGGAGGAACACCGGUGGCGAAGGCGGCAUCCUGGACCGACACUGACGCUGAGGAGCGAAAGCCAGGGGAGCAAACGGGG